UUUAAUUAGCACCUCUGAACAAAUUGCUUUGGAUCGAUCCAAGAAGUCAAACGUCAGAAUUUACAGUUGAACAUGCAGUGCCAUCUGAUUCGUUAACAGACGAUGCCACAAAUGGUAUUAAUAGCAAUACAGAACUAAAUGUAACCUUCGGUGAAAGAAAAAGCAAAACACCACUGGAGAAUUUUCGCAAUAAUCCUGAGAAGCAAACAAGGGACGUAGAUAAUGACGUUAAUAAACGUUGGUUGCAGCAAAUUCAAAGAGAAAACUGUAAUGACCCAGAGGACUGGAGGAUUCUAGAAAGAUAUCUACUAGCCGAAUCAAAUUUAAAGAGAUUCGUGAAAACGCAUUACGGCUAUGGCCCUGUCGUUGUUGAGGAUUUAAACAUGUUCAAGCUGCCAACACCAGAGGGACGAUGGGUCAAUAUCUUGUUCGGACGAAUAUUUCCAAUAAUGAUGAUCAUUGCGUUCGUGUUCGUCGCAUGGCUAUUUCCAAGCAUAGCGAUUGUGGCCAUUGUACUUUUACUUUUGAGUUGUUUUGCGUUUCUCAAGUGCGAAUGUAGAUGCAGAUGUUGUCGUUGUUGCUGCUCGUGGUGUUAUAUCCCAUGGAUGUUUCGCUGGGCGAAUGGAUUGCGUGUCAUACGCGUUCGUGAAUACUUUGCAAUAUCGGCGACAUUGCUGUUGUUUAUUCUUCUUAAGGUCUUGUUUACAGUCGAUGAUUAGAUUAUUUUAUGAAAGGGUAUACGGUUUACGGUAUACGGUACGUUUUGUCAAUUAUUGUGAACUUCUUUUUUUAUAUUUCACCGUUAAACUGCUUCUUGUAUUUUUUUAUAUAAUGAUUUAUAAAUACUUUUUUCAAUUACACUAAUUUUGUAGAGUCUUAAUUUAAUUUUCACACAUUUUGCUGCCGGUAAUUCGUGCGUUUGAAAUUCGGGAAAACUUAUUAAUUUUAUUCAUGGAAAAAAACAAUAUUGUUGUAUUUUCCAAUACAAUGUAUUGACAAUGCUAUAGACAUAUAAAUUUAUUUAAGUAAAACACUGUUAAAUUUUAAUUGAUAAUUUUAUGCUAUACGAAUCUUCAGUAAAAAAACCGACAACUAGAUAUGAAUCUAUAAUUGUAGGACUAACGAUACCAAAACACGAGCUUUACUGAAAUUGAAAACUGAAAAUAUGUUUCCAGUAUUGUAAAUAUUCAUGUAUACGAAUUGUAUUACGGAUGUCGAAAUACACACUAUUUUAUCCAAAUAUCUAUCUAUCUAUCUAUAUUUAUAUAUAUCACAUGUGAAGAGGCCGAUGUAGAGAAACCUUUAAUGCAGGAUAAAGUCGUGUGAUAUGGCAUACUUAUGUAAAUGUGUAUAUAUAUCUACUCUUUUAUCAUUGUUUGUUAAAUCAAUGUAUAUGUUUAGAAUACAGCCUUAAAAUGUUUCAUUUAAACAACAUACAAUUCCUUGCUAUAUAAUCAUAUUUAAUUGCACGAAACAAUUUAGGAUAAAUGUAUGCUACAAUUUUAAAAGCCAAUUUCUAUUGUUUCUACAUAAGGAUAAAUGUAUGUUACAAUUUUAAAAGCCAAUUUCUAUGUUUCUACAUUAUUAUUAGAAUAUCAACCAGUAAUCGUUACAAGAACUACAAUGAAUAGAAGCAGCUAUACUACCUAAAUUAGUUGAUUAAAGAAACCUCUAAGAUAAGAACAUAUUGUAUUAUAGUUUAAAAUACAUUAGUUAAAUGCUUAGAAUACGUUCCAUAAUUAUCUUGCAUGUAUGUUAGGGCUCGAAUUUAACUUUUUUUCUACUUGCAAAAAAUUGUGAGCAGCUUUAAUACCAACUCGCAAAAUCAAAAACAUUCUCGCAAAUUUUGAUGGAAACAUAAAAAACCUUAGACAUUAGUUUAGUACUAUUUAAACAAAAUAAAAGUACUUAACAUGUAUUUACAUUUUAUUUCUGCAACCAUUCAAAGGUAUCAGUUCCUUGGACCAUAAGGGUCUACAUCAGGUUGAUUGACCAUCUUCAUCUACAACAAGUUUUAGUCUUAUUUUAAGUUAUUUUUCCCACUUAUUCACUGUUUUCGUAGAAGGAAUAAAAAUCCGUUUUUUUUCUAACUAAACGGUUUACUUUGCUUUAUCUUUUGUAUUAUGUAUAUUUUGUGUUAUUACCGUCUGUGUGAAUAAAGUGACAAGUUAUUUUUCGCUUCAAUAAACAUGUGUGAAUAGUC